UUGCACUGUACUACACCAGAGAAUAUAGAGAGGAUAGACACUGCAGACAGACUUUGACCAUCACCCAAGGAACAACUGCACAACCAAAAGACAUCCAGUCUCUUCAUAGCAUUGCUCAACACAGAGAAGGUUGGUCAAUGAAACCAUCAUCUGGAAAUCAGUCAGGUCGGGGAACUUUGAUAUAUCAUUAGAUCUGAAACUAGUCAGUGGUGUGGAGUCUUUAAUGAGAACCAACCUUCCUGAAGGUUCAGCUGUGAGUGAUCGGUCAGGGUGAGGCUGGGAAGAAGGGGGUGAUAACUUCAAUCAUUCAUCGAGCCUCAUCAAACACAGACUUAUUCCUGUAGGGAAGAGGCUGUACUAAGGUAUUUGUGGAGGGCUUUGGAUACAUCCAAGAUUCAUCUGCUCUACGACUAUGAAUACAAAGGUGGCUUCAUGAAAGAGAGACAGUACAAGUUUGAGGUUUGUGAUCAAACCUUUGAACAGCCAUCAACGCUAGUGAAUCACCGGCGCAUUCAUACUGUGGAGAAGCCAUUCAAAUGUGAGGUGUGUAACAAGGGUUUUGCACAGUCAUUAUGCCUGGUGAAACAUCGGCGUAUUCACACAUGGGACAAACCCUUCACUUAUCACGUGUAUGACAAAUCAUUCUUACAGUCAUCAACACUCCUGUUCCAUCAGAGUAUUCACACAGGAGCAAAACCAUUCACAUGUGAAGUGUGCAACAGAUCAUUCGCAGAGCCCUCAAACCUCCGGAAACACCAAUGUGUUCACACUGGGGAGAAGUUGUUCAAAUGUGAGGUAUGUAACCAAGUCUUCGCUCAAUCAUCGGGCCUGGUGAUGCAUUGGCGUAUUCACACAGGGGAGUGACCAUUCACAUGUGACGUAUGUGACAAAUCAUUCUUGUGGUAAUCAACCCUCUGCACUCACCAAUACAUUUACACAGGAGAGAAACCAUUCACAUGUAAAGUGUGUGACAAAUCAUUCUUGACAUCAUCGGACCGCCUGUUCCAUCAGAGGAUUCACACAGGGGAGAAGCCAUUCAUGUGUAAGCUCACACAACAUCAAGGAUGGAAAUUUCUACUCCAGAUGUCAACUCAGACAAAAGGUGAUGCUCAUAUGUGUCUGCAACAACUAGUAAAUGAGUGAGAAUGGAAAAGGAGGUUCUGAAACAAAAAUCAAAAGCAGCCCUCAAGAACUCCAGGAAGAGUGUUUUAUGCAGUUAUCUGACAAAGCCGUGAAACACUCAAACUGAAACUUAAGCUUUCGAUGGUCUCUGUAAAUAGAGACAGAGAAUACAAAAGAUAAGAUGUUUUGCUGGAUCAAUACGGAACAGGUCAACCACAGUGUGAUUAUGGUUUCUGAUUCUCGAUAGCAGAAGAAGAUAAAGGCUUCGUUGUGCUGUGGUUUUUGUCAAAUUUUGACCCAAGUAGCCAUGUGACACAGGACUCUGUGCUCUACCAUCUGCUCCUGCGUUGCAUGUCGAGACAAACAUUGGAGCACCAACAGGACCAUCACCUCAGUGAAAGACGCUCUUUGGUCUGCAUGAAACCUGUUGGUCUUCCAGUGCAAAGAGUUGACCUUAACUGAGUAUCACAGACUGGAUAUAUUCCAAGGUCCAGGACAAUGUGCUGAGGGAGGCUCUCAAGCUUGUGGCAAUUGUCACUAAGUUGCAGUGGAGAAAGACCACCAUCUGAGGUCUUUCUGCGGAAGUUUAACAGGGUGCGUUCAGUUAUUAGAUCAUUCCCCCCUCCCCAUUGCCUCAAAAUGUCAUUAUUUUCUAUCUGCAUGAUUAAAAAUGCCCUUGUUCUUUGCAACAUCACAGUAGCUCUGAGUUGUAAAAUUCCAA